rnacentral:rRNA from 1 species
UUUUAACGGCCGCAGUUGGAAGCUGUGCUAAGGUAGCGUAAUAAGUUGUCCUUUAAAUGAGGAAGUGAAUGAAUGGCUUGACGUAAGAAAUUCUGUCUCCAAGAAAAUUUAUGAAAUUUUCUUCUUAGUGAAAAGACUGAGAUUUAAUUAAAAGACGAGAAGACCCUAUUGAGCUUGUAAUUAUUAGCAUAUAAGUGUGUUAAAAAAGUUUGGUUGGGGUAACCAGGGAGUAUAAAUAACCUCCCUUAAGUAAUAGAAAUCCAAAAUUUUUGAAAAAAGAAAAAGUUACCGUAGGGAUAACAGCGUUAUCUUUUCUAAGAGAGCAAAUUGAAGAAAAG